GCACCAUGGAAAUUAAAAUUCAUCAUCUUUCUCUUGUUUUUUUUUAAACACCCAAAGCUUCACAUCCUUAAAAGGAUGAUUCUCAGGCACACGAGUUUUUAUUUGAGACACGGCAUGGUCAAGAAACAAAAAGAUAGGGAAGGGGAGGAGACAGGCGUCCAGGGCGCCUGGGGAACCGGCACGGCGGAGCAGCGGCGGCGGGGCUGGGGGGAGGCCGCUGAGGCGGCCGCGGCCGAGGAGGGGCAGGCCGAGGCCGAGGGUGCCGCGGCCUCGGGGUCAGGCUCCCAGGCAGGAGGCGCGGGUGGCGGCCGCGGGGGCUGGCGGCGGCAGCCCCAGUGCUGCCCCUGUGCGGCGCCCCUUCCCCGCUCCGCCGCGCACUGUUGUCAUGGAGGAACCAAGAUGGCGGCUCUGGCCUACAACCUGGGCAAGCGGGAGAUCAACCACUACUUCAGCGUGAGGAGCGCCAAGGUGCUGGCGCUGGUGGCUGUGCUGCUGCUCGCGGCAUGCCACCUCGCCUCCCGCCGCUACCGAGGCAGUGAUUCAUGUGAAUACCUUCUCUCAAGUGGCAGAUUUCUUGGAGAAAAAGUUUGGCAACCCCACAGUUGUAUGAUGCAUAAAUAUAAAAUCAGUGAAGCGAAGAAUUGCCUUGUAGAUAAACAUAUUGCAUUUAUUGGAGAUUCCAGAAUUCGUCAAUUGUUUUAUUCUUUUGUAAAAAUAAUUAACCCUCAGUUCAAAAACGAAGGAAAUAAGCAUGAAAACAUUCCUUUUGAAGACAAGAUUGCAUCAGUUAAAGUGGAUUUUCUGUGGCAUCCAGAAGUCAAUGGUUCUAUGAAACAGUGUAUCAAAGUGUGGACUGAGGAUUCUGUUGCAAAGCCCCAUGUGAUUGUAGCAGGAGCUGCCACAUGGUCCAUCAAGAUUCACAAUGGUAGCAAUGAAGCACUUUCUCAAUAUAAAAUGAACAUUACCUCCAUAGCACCGCUUUUAGAAAAAUUGGCAAAGACUAGUGAUGUUUAUUGGGUCUUACAAGAUCCAGUUUAUGAAGAUCUAUUAAGUGAAAAUAGAAAAAUGAUCACUAAUGAGAAGAUAGAUGCCUACAAUGAAGCUGCAGUCAGUAUUUUGAAUAGUAGCACCAGAAAUUCUAAGUCAAAUGUUAAGAUGUUCAGUGUUUCCAAAUUAAUUGCUCAAGAAACCAUCAUGGAAUCUUUGGAUGGCUUACAUCUUCCUGAAUCAAGCAGAGAAACUAGUGCAAUGAUUCUUAUGAACGUGUACUGCAAUAAGAUUUUGAAGCCUGUAGAUGGUUCCUGUUGUCAACCCCAGCCUCCUCUUACUCUCAUACAGAAACUAGCUGCUUGUUUUUUCACCUUAUCUAUUAUUGGAUAUUUAAUUUUUUAUGUAAUUCAUCGUAAUGCUCAUCGAAAGAAUAAGCCAUGUACUGAUUUGGAAAGUGGUGAGGAAAAGAAAAAUAUUAUUAAUAACCCUGCAUCUCCAUUAGAAAUACUUUUACAAUCUUUCUGCAAACUUGGCCUGAUUAUGGCUUACUUCUACAUGUGUGACCAUGCAAAUCUUUUUAUGAAGGAAAACAAGUUUUAUACCCAUUCGUCUUUCUUUAUUCCAAUUAUCUACAUCUUGGUUUUGGGAGUAUUUUACAAUGAAAAUACUAAAGAGACUAAAGUAUUAAAUAGAGAACAAACAGAUGAGUGGAAGGGCUGGAUGCAACUUGUGAUUUUGAUUUAUCACAUCUCUGGAGCAAGUACUUUUUUGCCUGUGUACAUGCACAUUCGAGUUCUGGUUGCUGCAUAUCUGUUUCAGACAGGGUAUGGACAUUUUUCAUAUUUUUGGAUAAAAGGAGACUUUGGAAUCCAUAGAGUAUGUCAGGUCUUAUUUCGUCUCAAUUUCCUGGUAGUGGUGUUAUGUAUAGUAAUGGAUCGGCCUUAUCAAUUCUAUUACUUUGUUCCCUUGAUCACUGUGUGGUUCAUGGUCAUAUAUGUUACUUUAGCACUGUGGCCACAGAUUAUCCAAAAGAGAGCAAACGGAAAUUGUUUCUGGCAUUUUGGCUUAUUGUUGAAACUAGGCUUUUUGCUGUUAUGCAUAUGUUUUUUGGCAUAUUCUCAGGGUGCAUUUGAGAAGAUCUUUUCUCUUUGGCCAUUGUCCAAGUGUUUUGAACUGAAAGGGAAUGUAUAUGAAUGGUGGUUCAGAUGGCGGUUAGACCGUUAUGUAGUCUUCCAUGGAAUGCUGUUUGCUUUUAUUUAUUUGGCUUUACAGAAGCGUCAAGUACUUUCUGAAGGAAAGGGUGAACCUCUUUUUUCAAACAAAAUUUCAAACUUUCUAUUGUUUAUUUCAGUAGUUUCUUUCUUGACCUAUUCCAUCUGGGCUAGCAGUUGUAAAAACAAAGCAGAGUGCAAUGAACUCCACCCAUCUGUUUCUGUGGUGCAGAUUUUAGCCUUCAUCCUAAUAAGGAAUAUUCCUGGAUAUGCCCGUUCAGUUUACAGUUCAUUUUUUGCUUGGUUUGGAAAAAUUUCAUUAGAGCUAUUUAUUUGUCAGUAUCACAUAUGGCUGGCAGCCGACACAAGGGGUAUUUUGGUACUCAUACCUGGAAACCCUAUGCUCAACAUCAUUGUCAGCACUUUCAUCUUCGUUUGUGUGGCACAUGAAAUUUCUCAGAUCACUAAUGAUCUUGCACAGAUUAUUAUUCCUAAAGAUAACUCAUCUCUCUUGAAAAGGUUGGCAUGUAUAGCUGCGUUUUUUUGUGGACUACCCAUCUUAUCGUCCAUUCAAGAUAAAUCAAGACAUUAGGUUCCUAAAAUCUCAAAAAACUUAAAACUCUUCAGGCUUACUUUGUAUCUGUCUGGAGAAGAAAAGGAUCUAUCUGGAAAUACAAAUGUCUAUGUAAAUACAAACAUGUGGCAAAAGAACAGUUUAGGGAUGUCUGUUGAACAGUGUGGUUGUAUAUAUCGGCAGUGUAUAUACCUGAUGUGAAAUACUAAGAAAAAAUUGAUGAACCAGAAUGCAACAUAGGAGUGCAUGUGAAAAGUCUUUUCUACUGGAGCUAUUUUCCAUUUAUAAUGAUUUUAAGUUAACAUAUGAAGGCAGGGAAAUGAUUACCUUUCCAGUACAAAGUGUAGAUGAUAUAAUUAGCCUAGUGACACCACUGUUUUGAUAUUUACUAAAUUUGUGGUAAUAAGUUUGUCUGUGCCUGUCUUCAUUGUGGAACUUCUACUUCAUUGAAAACUUUUCUACUCAAGAAUGACUUGCAGUAUUGUGUUCUUAUGUGCAAUGACACGGAAUGAUGAACAGUAUUUUAAUUUAUAUAUAUUCAUGUUCUGCUUGUUCAUGUUUGCUGACAUGAUUUUUGUCCUUACUGUGGUUGUCAGGUAUACAAGUCUAAAUCUUUGUACCCUUUGUCUCUCAGAAUUGUUAUAAGGCUCCAUGACAGGGUUUUAUCUUUGUUGAUGUUGUCAUUGCUUCUUUUUAUAAAAAGGCCAAAUUUUCCUUUUCAGUGCAAACAUACACCCAUUUCUUUUCCUUAAGCUCUAGCAGUGUAAUACCAGUUACCCUGUGGUUUAAUGUUUUCCCCUCCCUAAUUAAUUUUUUGUAUAUUAUUUCCAAUGUUUGGAAAGUUCUUUAUAACCAUUUUGGUAUUUCCUAUUAUCCCUCCCAUUAAAAAAAAUAUUUAUCAGUCUAAACAUGUGCAGUAAAGAUUCAAGUUGUUAUGAUGGAGAUGUUUGACUGUAGUAGAAUUUUAAGUAAACUGGUGACUUGGGCAAUAAAUAAUUUUUGUUUGGUUUUUUUAUAAGCUAACUGUUAGAGGUAAAUGUUUAUUUAUCUGUUGUACAGAUUUGAUUAUGAUUUUUAAUGUUUGAAAGAUUGCACUUAUUUGCUUUUACUAUGUGUGAGGUAAAAUAUAUUUUCUGUUCACAGUAUGUAAAAAUGUGGAGUAAUUUAAACAGUAAAUAAACAUUCUGUGGAUGCUUAUUUUUGUAUUGGCAAAGGAUCAAUUAAACUACUUAUGUUCAUUUUUUUAAAAAGCUCGAUCCGUUAAUAAUUGGUUCAGGUUUCUAAUUCAUUUCUUUAAUUUCAGUGUGCUUUUUCAAACUCAUUAAACAGGAAUAGAUCUCUAAGUUACAGUGAGUAAGGAAUAAUUUAGUUGUUAGUGCUUGUAAGGAUAAUCUCUUCUUCUACUAGAAAGUUUAAGCUUCAUGGUAUAUAUGUAGUUUUACUUGAAGAUUUUUAAAAUUUAAUUAUUAUUUCUGUAGCACUGGGUUUAUGUGCUACUGAUAUGUUUCCACUAAUUGAGGAAUAUUUCUUGGACAGAAAUGUGUGUUUUUUCCUUUUCUCUCUUCUUCUGCCCUUACUUAAUCUUUUGACAUUUCCCGGAUAGACAAUUGUAAUGAUUCAUUGCUCUGCCUCCUAGACUGCAGCCUUAUAAGUAGAGAAUAGUACAGUUAUAAAUCAAAAACUUCCAAGUACUGUGAUCACAUUAUUCUUGCUCAUGUAGCUUGCCAAUGAGUAGAGUGCAUUUUAAUUUAGCUUGUAAGUUUUAUCACCUGAAAAAGAUUCUUCCUGAUGAAACAAUUGAAAAAGAAAGAUGACCAGUAACUUACAUCUUUCAGUAGUGAUUGCCAUGUGAUUAUAUAUAAGCUUGUCUCUCUUAUUUGAACUCAGGCCUAAAACUUAACUGGUAAGCCCUAUUUCUUCAUCACAUGUUCUUAUUUAAUAUACAAAAUUUUUUUUUAGGUAUAACUAUAUUUAAUAAUUAAAAUAUAGUAUAUUUAUACUUAAAAUUAUUUAAUAUGUCUUUAUAAGUAAGAGGUUAUUGUGGAAGUGGGCACAAUGAUAAGCAUCUGUGUAUGGUAAACAUCUUAAAUUUUUUUCUGCAUUGAUUUAUGUACUGACCAGUUUCUUUACUCAGUCAUGAGAUUCUUCAAAUAAGAUGUUUAAAAAAUAUUUGGAUAUGCUAAAAUUGAGGUAAAAACCACAAAAGUUUCUUCACUUAGGCUUUCUGUAAUAAAAAUUACAUUCAGAAAUCAGCAAAAAAAAAAAAAGAAACAAAAAGAUAAAAUUCUCUUUCUGAAACCGAAUGUGAUUCAAAACAGCCACUAGAGGACAGUGGUGACACUGAGGAUGUUUCAAG
rnacentral:lncRNA from 1 species